CGGGAAGUAGCUCAGCUUGGUAGAGCACUUGGUUUGGGACCAAGGGGUCGCAGGUUCGAAUCCAGUCUUCCCGA
rnacentral:tRNA from 1 species